CCAGUUACUCCCUUUGAGGUACUGUUUUUUUCUUACCCUUCAGUAUAAUUUGAUCAUCAACUUGAUCGGAGCUGGAACGGUCUCUGAAAUUCUCAUGUGGUCAGGUCUGUGAGGGCAUUUCCAUGGAGGACUGACAGAAGGGAGACCCUGUCCAGCUCUGGGUCCAGAAAUGAAGAUGUCUGAGGAACAAACAGUGCUCUCUGCCUCCUCUAGUUUCUUGCUGGCUAUUGGGUCCUCACUGUCACGGCUGAUGUCAUUCUUUGCUCAUAGCAGAACUCACCUGACUUCUAUCCCAGCUCCUUCAGUCUUCUGGUCUGGCUGAAGACCAAGAUCAUAUAAGGAGCCUCUAAACCUUCAGCACCAGAUUGGGACUGUCGAGGGACACAGCUUGAAUGACUGAGUAGCUGCAGGCUCGUGAUGUGAGGGGCAGAAGGAGGGUUGUUACAAGGCAAGUCCAGUGCAGCAUGAACAACACUCCAUUCUCUCCAGGGAAGCAGCAAGUGGGCAGAUGGCAAGAUCCUGGAAGUGUAAAACAGCUACAAGAAACAAGAUGAUUCAGACAGAGGGAGUAUGUGUAAAUCCUGGCUGGUCAUCUCAAUAUUAAUCAAGAUAUCACCACCCACCACCUACCGCCUUGCUGUUGACCAACAAGCCACUGUGAUCCCCUCUCUUGUCUCUGUCUCCCCUUCCGUCUGUACUGGAGUUAGAGGCGCCCACUUGGCCAUGGUCAGCUUUCUAUGUGUGUGCUGGGAAUCCAAACUCAGAUCUUCACAUUCAGGAAAAGGAUGCCACGAACAAUCAGAGCUCUUUUUGAGGCUUUGGAUGGGAAAAUUGCCACCACUUUUACACUUUGCUUAUUUUGUGACCUGGCUCAAUCAGAUGACAUGGGGAUGAGACCAUUCACUGUCAGCAGAGGAAGAAAGAGAAAAUGCAACUCCUAUAGAGGAAGGCAGAGCUGAGAGCCAGGGCCACAACCAAAAGCCAGGGAUGGUACCCUCUAAAGCACAGGAACCAUGCCUAAGAGAGAUAUUUUCAAGUGGGCCUGUGGUUUACCACAGUGUCCUCGUGAUCAGUACAGUGGUCAGAUGUCAGGCGUAACUGAAAAGCUGGGCUGGAGCAGGCUUGAAAACGUGCCAUCACCCAUGUGACGCUUCUGAAGAAAACUGGAGAAGCAGCAACAGUUGUUGCCUUUGAUUAGCAGAACAUUUUAAUCCCCACCCCAUCUUUUCUCCAAGUAGUUGUUCACAAUGUGAGUGCUCAACCCCAUUGUUUGUUUGCUCGGUUCAAUAGAUCUGGGGGCAAGGGUUAUGCCUUCUUGUUACUAUGGGGCUGGCAGGGAGAAGAACUGGAGGCCAGAGCUCUCAGUCUAAGCUUCAGGAUCAUGACUAACUACCUACAACUGUCCCCAGACAUUCCCAAUUCAACCCAUAGUGCAGAUUACGUAAUCAUCUCUUCACACUGCAUGGGAUAGGAGGAACGCUGGGAUCCAAAGAGUUAAACUGUCAUCUGCAAUGGAAUAAAUGGCUUAACCA